CGUCUCUACAGCAGUGUUGUUACUAUUAAAGUUCCAACCCUUGUAUGGCCAUGCAAAUGAAGCAGUGUGACAUCAAAACUAACAACACGGAGCUGAGUCCUUUUUGAGAAGCAAAUACAUUCUUGACUACUCAACAAUUCCAUUGUGUGGAACUUGAAGAUUCAUUACUGUGUUCAGAAUAGUCUGCCUGUAAACCUGUCCUGAGCCAGGGAUUAUUCUUGGAAAGUGCAAUUGCCAUGCUGACUGGAAAUGAUUCAUCAGGCAGUGCCAUGACAUCGCAUGGAACAGG